GAACUACAGAAAAGGGAGUUACAGAACAAAAUCCAAAUCAACUACGAGUAUUCCUUGAAAUAGAAAAUCAAAUUUCUUUAUAGAAACAAACUGUCAAAUAUCCUGAGCUGAUUCCAGGUGGCAUAUCAUUUUACGAUCCAAAUAAGAAAUAGGAGUUUCAACAAUGCCGAAUCCGAUUCAAAAAUUGUUCCAAUUGAUCUAUAAGAUCUUUCGCUAUCUGUGGCUAGCAUCCGUACUGAUGAUACCGUAUAUGGCCCUGAAAUUGAAGACGUGCGAGGCCAGCAAACUGGACAGCUACGUAAUGCUUGGAUGCCUAGCACUGGGCGUCAUCCAGUUGAUAGAGACCCAACGCUUCCGACGACAUUAGGACGUGGGAGCUGGAGGCCGGCCAGAUUGUUGGCGAGACUGGUGCCCGCCAAUCCGAUCAGACAUAGCGUCAAGCUGCACACGAUCCGCUGCCACAUUUUUGCACUACUCGAACUACCAACUGGCCUCCGAUUAUGUCUAUAUCUAUGUGUAUAUGUUUAUAUGCGCCACGAUCUUUUGUUUAAUCGUCUGGCCAAUUAUGUAUUAAAAUAUGCAGUUGCAUGGACAAGCACA